rnacentral:lncRNA from 1 species
UUUUGUGUUUUAAUGAAAAGGUUAAAUUGGUAAUUAUAUAACCCCAUUUUCCAUUUAACUUAAACAUCUUCAGAUUCCAAAUAACGAAAUCACGUUAUCAUCAAAACCAAAAAUAAGGAAAUCACGCAUGUCUGAUUCCUUCAGCGAUUUCUUCAUUCGUUUGAUUUCUUCAACGAUUCCAGGGCGUAUAAAAUCUAAUUGAAUGAGCUAAUCGAUCUAUGGGUUUUAUGUACCAGUGCUUGAAUCGUGUAAGCCAGAUUUGUUCAGUGUCACUAGCCGGUGGCGAAAACCAUAUCGGUACUAGCGGGUUCUGAAAAAGCAUAACUGGUGAACGAGAGCUAUGAUUGUUAAUCGACACGAGUCAUGUUUAAAGACUUUUGACAUAUGCUACUAUUGUAAAAGACCAUUUCAAUGCUAGAAGAUACGAGGACAUAUAUAUAUACGUACGUACGUGAUACUGAAGUGAAAGAGUUGUUUGCAAGGCUGCAUCGGAUGGAUGAGAAUGUUGAUGGUGCUGCAAGGAUUAUUAUGUGUCUAUUCAUAUUUAUGUAUAUGUAACAGUUGAUUGUACAUAUGUGUAAGUGUAUGUUCUACAAAUAUGUGAAUGUCAUGUAUUAUUAUGAUGUUAACCUUAAUUUUUAUGGUUUGUUUAUACAAUGAAUUUCGUUACUUUGAGAUAGAAAUAUGCAUGUAAUAAACAAAUCUGGUUCAUAUU